GGGGUUGUAGUUCAGUGGUAGAAUGCUUGCCUAGCAUGUAGGAGGCACUGGGUUCGAUUUUCGGCACCACA
rnacentral:tRNA from 1 species